rnacentral:tRNA from 1 species
GGGGCUGGGGCUCAGCGGUAGAGUGCUUGCCUAGCAUGCAUGAGGCCCUGGGUUCAAUCCUCAGCACCA